AUAAAUCGCUCAAAUUUCUCACUCCAAAGUUCCUGCAGAUUGAAUCCCAAAAUCUUUAUGAACCAAAUAUUUCAGCAUAUCUUGUAACAUUUCUUGCUAAAGUGACACAGUAGCAAGUCUAAUUACUCGUUUAAUUGACACUUAAUAUCAAUAUCACGAUCUUAAUUACUCAUUUUAUAUGAAAACAAAAAAGUUCUUAUCGCAUCCCUGAUAUUGACAUUAACAAAAAUUAAUGACCUUACAUUAUGUCAAAAAUCCUUUAAUUUCAUAUAUGUUUGGUAACACUACAUACGAAAUUUCACAAACAAAUAGAAGCCAGUAUAAGAGGAAAAAUAACUCAUCGUCUGCUAAAUCUCAAGUAUAGAACAACUAAAUCACCAUUCCUGACUUUCAGAAGGAAAGUAUCACAUUAGCUAGGUAAAUGGCUCAGACCAGUGAAUGGAUUGGCAUACUGAGAAAUGCAAAAUCUGCAGGAAAGGAAGUUAGUCCACUUCAAUGAUUUUCAUUAAGAAAGAGGGAGAGAAAGUAGAGAACUUAACUGAAAAAAUAGGCAUAUCAUCAAUAAACACACGAUUAAAAGAAAGAGGGGGAGAAUGUAGAGAACUUAACUAAAAAAAUAGGUGCAUCUUCGUUCAUCUUCUGCUUUCUCUUCAGAAGAGAAGAGAUUGAUUGUCACACAAGCAGUUGUGCAGAUCAUUCUUCCUCAUCUUUCCUUGUUCGUCUCUUCCUUUUUGGAACUGGAUCUAUAGAUAAAGUUAUUCUUACAGGAACAAAUAACAAUAGAGCACAAAUUAAGAGACCUUAGGUGUAUAGUCCACUUCAAUGGGAAUUUAGAAAUUACCAACCAAAGAAGUUCAUGUUUGGCAUGUAAAGUAGACUACUUUGAGAAAUUAGAGAGGAAAUGAAGUGCUCCACAAAUAGGAAAUUCCAUUACACUUUGAAAUCCUAUAUUGAGUCCACGUUCUCAGAGAUUCUCCCUUAAACUUGCUGACUUAUACAGUUUCUUUUUACCACUUCUUCGACAUUUCCUC
rnacentral:lncRNA from 1 species